rnacentral:rRNA from 1 species
UACAUGGGGUGCAAACGUUUGCUCGGAAUUAUUGGGCGUAAAGCGCACGUAGGCGGUUCGUUAAGUCGGAUGUGAAAGCCCUCGGCUCAACUGAGGAAGUGCACCCGAAACUGGCGAGCUUGAGUACGAAAGAGGAUCGCGGAAUUCCCGGUGUAGAGGUGAAAUUCGUAGAUAUCGGGGAGGAACACCGGUGCGAAGGCGGCGAUCUGGGUCGAUACUGACGCUGAGGUGGCGAAAGCGUGGGGAGCAAACAGG